CGUAGGUGGCAAGCGUUGUCCGGAUUUACUGGGCGUAAAGGGCGUGCAGGCGGUCUGUUAAGUUCAGGGUGAAAGCUCCCGGCUCAACUGGGAGAGGUCCUUGGAUACUGGCAGACUUGAGGGAGGUAGAGGAGAGUGGAAUUCCCGGUGUAGUGGUGAUAUGCGUAGAUAUCGGGAGGAACACCAGUGGCGAAGGCGGCUCUCUGGGCCUUUCCUGACGCUGAGACGCGAAAGCGUGGGGAGCGAACCGGAUUAGAUACCCGGGUAGUCCACGCCGUAAACUAUGAACACUAGGUGUGGGGGGUAUCGACCCCCUCCGUGCCGAAGCUAACGCAAUAAGUGUUCCGCCUGGGGAGUACGGCCGCAAGGCUA
rnacentral:rRNA from 1 species